GGAUUCUGAGACAUGAAUCCAGGCCCUACGGGGCGCAGCAGGCGCGCAAACUUUACAAUGCGAGCAAUCGUGAUAAGGAAACCCUGAGUGCCUGUCGAUGCAGGCUGUUCAUAUAUCUAAAUCAUAUGUGAAGAAAGGGCAGGGCAAGACCGGUGCCAGCCGCCGCGGUAAUACCGGCUGCUCGAGUGAUGGCCACUAUUACUGGGUUUAAAGCGUCCGUAGCUUGACUGUUAGGUCUCUUGGGAAAUCUUCGCGCUCAACGUGAAGGCGUCUAAGAGAUACCGGCAGUCUUGGAACUGGGAGAGGUAAACCGUACUUCGGGGGUAGGAGUGAAAUCUUGUAAUCCUCGAGGGACGACCUAUGGCGAAGGCAGUUUACCAGAACAGCUUCGACAGUGAGGGACGAAAGCUGGGGGAGCAAACGGGAUUAGAUACCCCGGUAGUCCCAGCCGUAAACAAUGUGCGUUAGGUGUGUCGGUAACCACGUGUUACUGAUGCGCCGAAGAGAAAUCGUGAAACGCACCACCUGGGAAGUACGGUCGCAAGGCUGAAACUUAAAGGAAUUGGCGGGGGAGCACCACAACAGGUGGAGCCUGCGGUUUAAUUGGAUUCAACGCCGGG
rnacentral:rRNA from 1 species